CGCUGCAGCUACACGCAGAUCUCCAUUAACUCUGAGCAUCCAGUCCUGCUCUCUGGCUCAUCUUCUCCAUGCAUGCCAUGAAUUCAUAAGCGUUCCUAAUUUGGGCCGAGGAGAGGAGAGUGGGAGCAAGGUGACCCCAGCUUUGUUCCUGAUCAUCAGCUGGUCCGGCCGAGGUUAACGAUGGAAAUUGCAGCUCAGGACAGACGAAGGUUUUCCUUCUUGCUGCCCAGAGACACUUUGGACACAGUAGGUGGUUCUGAGUCUUUGGCUCAUUAGAUUCCUGCCAGACUGACUGACUGUUGCGUGUUUGGCUGUUUAAGCAUCGCGUCUAAUUAGAGCAGCUUCACAGAGACGGAGACUAAUGUGAGACAGGAGGAUCCAGGCCAUAAAUAGAGACUGAGGACCAGCAUUUAGUUUGGAUCAGGACCGGUACCGGUACCAGUCCUGCAGCUGAAACCUUUUCAUGAGACACCAAAGAAAGAGUUUUCUCUGGUAGAACAGAAGCGAACCUGCUUCCCCUCCCCCACAUGUUGCUGCACACUGCA